AAGUUAGAAUCUGUUAGCUACUGCAUGAAGAGGGAGGAUGUAGUGCUUGGAGGAAAUACCCAUGAGAAACAUCAAGGAGGCUCAUAGUAAGGACACAAAGUCCCUCCAAGGUAUCUAUGUCAGAAAAGCAUUUUGUAUCUGGAGUUUCAAGAGACAAUCUCACAGAUAAGACAAGGGAGACAUGGACUUUACAUCCUCCUCAACAAAGGGACCUUGGUGGUUCAGGAUGAAUGCCUGAUAGAGAAGGACUGGACUGCAGUAGCUUGGGAAACUUAGCAAUUGAAAUCUGAACUUCUGAGGGCUUGCCUAAAAGGUUUUAGGCUCACACUCUUAGACUAAUAUUGAGGAUAAAAGAACCUUGUGCAAGUGUCAGUGGCACUGAUGUGACUUUGGUGUUUCUGGGUGUAUGUGAGUUGCCCAAUGCUACACAGUGCAACCAGAAUGGAUUGAAGGGAGUGUUGUAAGGCCAGCAAGAGUCCACCACCCUGACUGAGGUCUGUUACACCAGAAAGAGCUGUUUUUCUGGGCAGAUUGUAGGAGCAGUGACACACCCAGCACACGUAUCAGCACUGAAACAGGCAGGGUCCUGGGCUGCGGCACCAAGCUGUGCACCAGAGAUGGAGAGAAUGAAGAAUUUCACCGGUCUCAUUUAAUAAGAUUGCUCUCUGUUAAUGGGGUUGGUUUGCUUCCAGAUGCUUUCAAAUGUAAGACUAAUUAACUAAAUAACAAAAGGUGCAUACGUGGAACAUAAAGGUGAAUAAUAUCAGCAUGGUUCAUGUAGCACUAAAUAAUGUGAACACAGCAUCCACAAUGCAUGGCUUAACACUGGCUGAAGAUAGGAGCACCUCUGAAAACUCAUGUUGCUGAUCUAUCUCCAGUGCUGCGGUAUGAAUGAUUCUCUUGUGCUAAUGGCAGAACUGCCGCAGGCAGAAGAAUCUGUUGUGUUUACUCAACAGCAGUGGCAGCAAAUAGCUAUUAUUCUGCAGGUGCACCAUUUUCAAUCUUGGCAACUGAGCAUGGAGCCCUCGUCAGAGUCAUGAGGCUGCACUGCAAAAACUGCAGAGAGCUGAGAGAUGGGAAAUGAAGGACUUUGAUUAUUGAAUGGUUUUUCUGCAAGCAUUUGACUUUGGAGCAUCUAUAUUUGAAAGCCACUUUAGUCAAACAGGUAAUCUAAGAAUAUAUGGGAAAAUUCAGAUAGACACUGAAAAGCCCAAAGUACAGGGCAAAAAAGUUACAGGAAUAGAAGUCCUCCCUAUGUCCUUUUCAUAGUAUCCUUAAAUGGCAAAUUUUUUGCAUCUGCAUGAAUGGAUUUUAAUUAAACGUAUUCAUAAAUAGAAUACUGAGAUGACACAUUUUGUUGCAAAUACAAUCUAUCAGCAAACAGCAUCUGGAAGAUAUGGUGCUCUGUCAGCUAAAGCAGAUAAAGGAAGCCUGAGCCCACCUCUGUUCUCUGAAAAUGAUCCUCAUGGACCCUUAUUUCUCAGAGUUACAAUGCAAGAUUGAUCUCUGAUCAUAGAGCCACCCUCAUUGUUUCCAGUAACAAAUUUAUGAUACCCACCCCAUGUGAAAACUGCUCCAAGAGAUCAUCCAUCUAUGAGCAUCCAACAGCAGAGGUAGGAAGCCUAUUCUCCCUUCUUUGCCCACUAGAAAUAUCUUCAUGGCAAAUAAAAGAAGAUGCAGAUCUAUGCCAACAAAAAGACCAAUGCAGGCAUCUGUUGUGGGCCUACUUGCAUUUUAACAUCAUGGGCACCUGUUAAAGCACAGGGUAAUUUUGAACAAUAAAUUUGAACAAAAGAAGGACAGGCUGUGUGCCAGUACCAUCACUGACUGCCACACUGUGCACACACAGCCACCUGCCACAUAUGAUGGGGUUGUUUUAAGCUGUGCCAAAAGCAACUUGUUUUCAAUAUUUAUUUUAAUAUUCUUUCAUGCAAUAAUUUCCUUUUACUGACUACUUUAAAUUGUCUCCAAAAUAUAGAGCCAAGACUGAGGGUCAUUAAUUCUGAAGCACAAAUACUUCAGUGAGAUUUUUCCUCAGUUUGCGUAUCUGAGACAAAGUCAGUCCACAUAUCAAUGGCUGCAGAUACUCACCUUGGUGCCUGGUGUGAUCAGAAGUGCACAUUAUCAAAACAAGUCUUGCAAACUGGGGUCUCUGCACCCUACUGCCCUGCAAUGAUAGCACACCACAAAUGCAUGAGUGUGGGAGAAGGGAAGAAAGGCAUAAACAUGGAUCCAGCUGGAAUCUGGCAGGGUUUUGUCACAAAUACUAAGAAAGCACUUGUAACAUAAGGGUUUCAGGGCUUACUUUGGUAAUAAAAUAGCUGCAGCUUUUGGUAGGUGUGCUUAAUUAGCACAAGGUGACACAAGCAAUAUGUAUAUAUUUUCCAGGAGACAUCUAAGCACACCAACUGUUAUACUAAAUCUGAGAGGAAGUUGCCUAGACUCAGUGUUGCACUCCUGCAUUAAGAAAAAACAAGGCCUUUUUUGGAAUCUGACUACUUUUCAGCAGUUCCUUUCUUCCCAAGACAGUGAGUUUACUCAGUAUCAGUGCUCACCUCUUCUUAAAAACAGUUGCUCUCUCCUAAGCCCUUUCAGAUUUUAUUCAGCUGCCCAACUUUUUGGAAUUCAUUUCUUAAAAAAAAAAAAUGGAAUAACAAAAAUUAAUUUUUGUAAACUCAAAUACACCAUAUAUCCAGACCAUGAAAAGAUUGCCAUGUGUUUUUGGGAACAUGCACAGACUAAUAAAAGCCAAAGCCAAAUCCAUAGAGAAGGGAUGGGAGAUCCCAUGUUGUUGUCAGUGUCAGGAGAGAUGAAACAUAAUCCCUAAGACUGGCAUGUAUUUUAAUGAAGAGCAGUUCUUAACAAUUAAAAUGCUUGACUCCUAGUCCUUUAUUAGUCUUUUGUUAUCCACGUGGAGUGCUCAUUACUUGUAACAUUACCUUGUUUCUUAAAUAAUUUCAGCUUCUCUGCCUCAGAACAUAUUCUUAAACAAAAAAAAAAAAAAAACCAAAAAAAGCAAAACUGGGAACACUGAGAACACAGGGCACAUGAGAGUGAUUAUGUGUGGUUGUCUCCAUCCUUGAAGUCUGGUACAGUGCAACUUAGUGCUAGAGUAAAAUGCAAGAGUCUGUGCUGUAACUUUGAUAUGCAUCACUGCUUAGGCCCUGCAUUGCAGAGCUACUGACCACAUGAAAAUGCUGAACUCAGCUACAAAUCCAGUAUUUACAAAAACUCAGCUGCAGAAUGCAAGAAUGCAUGCUUAUUCCUAGAUAUCUAGGCAUAUCCUUGGGGAAAUGGUAUUUUUUUUAUAUCCUUUGUUCAUCUGGUGAGAUGCCAAUUAAGCUUCUGGUUCCUAUUAGCAAUUGCUGAGUGGCAUAUGUGGUGUUUCUCACAGAAAACAUUGCA